CCAGCACGGUUGCCAUGGAGAGCGCCCCACCCCCGUAUCAUUUGGGGCUUUGAGACCCUAGAAGGAAAGCACCAGGAAACCCCAAAGCGUUCUCCCUCCCGAAAACAAUGGCUUCCAGGGUCUGUGCCAGACACAAUCACAGCACCCGAAAUAGACUCAUUGUCCUCUUGUGCAAUAUCCAGGAAUUUGGUGAAACUCAUCAUUUUUCAGGUUACCGAUAAUGCAAGUCUGGAAACUGAAACAGGAAGGAACACAGGCUGAAAAAGCUUUUCUCCAGCCCACCGCGUUCCUCUCUCCAGAUGCAAGAUAGGUUUUUUUUGUUUGUUUGUUUUUGGGGUUUUUUUUCCAGCAGUACUUUGGUGGGGUUAAAAUUAGCUGGCAGCAUUCUGGUCACAUGCUAGACAGCAAAACAAAAGGGGGUUGUUCCCUGGCAGCUCCUGAAGCAGUCCCGACAGACCUUCCUAAUCCACGGACUUCUGGGAAGCUGGCUCCUCAGGCCCUGGUAUGGAGGGGCCUCGCCACCGCGUCCCCUCUGUCGUCACCCUGCUGUAACAGGGCAGAGCACGGGCGGUGUCCAUGCUGCCCAGGAUCUCGGAGCCCGCCUCCAUCUGGGAAGGCACUCAAGGGCCACAAAAUGGCUUUUGCAAAUCUUCCCACUUGGGAGAGGAAGGCUGAAAAAAGGAAGAACUUCUGAAGCCAACAAAUCAGCAAACACCACAAGGACACGGAGAGAAAGAGGAAGGGCAGUGUCUGGAAUCAUGGACGUGGGCCUCGUCUUCCGGGGGAAUGGGCUGCUCUUCGCAUGCCUAAAACCUAAAAACUCAUACAUCCAAGCUCUUAAAACUGUCACCAGAAGCCCUGGAUGAAAAAUGCAGCCUCUGAUUCAUGCGCACAGUCAGGAAACAUCCCUUGCGCUCAGUACAGAAACAUGUCCGUCAACUUGGGAAAGGAAUCACCGCCACGAAAUGUGCUUUUGGCUUGCCAAAGCUUAGCAGCUGCCAGAGCCAAAAACCCAGCUGCCUGGAUUGUCUGGGGAAGGUGGUGGCUGGAGUGGGGGUGGGGGGAUAUAGAGAAAGAGGGGCUUUCUGAAUCACCUGAUUUGUGCCUCCACCUCCUGUUUAAUUCCAAGCCAAAACCCACCUCGAAAUGUCCCGAGGGCCGACUACUCCUAAAAAUCGUGCUUAGCACUACCCCUUCCAGCUCUGAGCCUGCUGUCAAGGUGAAGCAGAUGGCUUUUAUUGAUUAAUUUAUUUAUUUGGAAGGGGCUACUUUGAAGUCAGGAAAUUCCAGCGAGACAGAGUGCGUUGCCCUGGCCAGAAUUGUUGUGACAAUCAUAAGCAGACACCCAGAGAGAGGUGGGUUAAAAGAAACUGCAGCUAGGCUCUGGGAACUCGGAUUUUUUCGUCUUUCCCCCGUCCUGGCCUCCAUGUCAGCCAUGCGCUUAUGAAGAGACAGCUCCUUUGCCUCUACAUUCGGUGGUAUUCAAGGGUUUGUGUGAGCUCCGUAGGGCCCGCUUUGUCAAAGGGGCUUCAUAAACCAAACAGGCCUCGGACUUGGAUCUCAUCCUGAAGCCCUCGUUAUAGAGACAGACCCAAACAGAAACGUACCCCCCCCCCCAACGCCCAGCACAUAAAGUCCUCUUUAAUAAACAUACACCAUUUUUCAGUGGAACAGCC